UUCGAUGGAGCAGAGGAGGCCGUGGAGGAGGAGGAGGGAGUCGCCGUCGCGGUUGGAGGAGGGAGUGUCCGUCGAGGUCAGCAGAGAGCCUUCGUCAAGAUCAGGAGCGACCCUCCGUCGAGGUAAGGAGCGAGCCGUGGAGGAGGAGGAGGGAGUCGCCGUCGCGGUUGGAGGAGGGAGUCUCCGUCGAGGUCAGCAGCGAUCCUCCGUCGAGGUCAGGAGCCUCUGUCGUUGCUUCGUCCGUCUCGACCCGGUGGCGCCCUCUAUCCGAUCCAGCGGCGCAACCCUCGAUCCGGUGGAGCCCCCCGGCGGCGCAGCCCUCGAUCUGGUGGAGCCCCUCGACGAUGUAGCCCUCGAU
rnacentral:lncRNA from 1 species